rnacentral:lncRNA from 1 species
CUUGAUUGGCUUAGUCUCUCUGUGCCUGUUUCCUCUCUGGUAAAGUAGGGGUUAACAUAAGUCCCUCUGCUCCAUUGAGCUGUGACAUUAGAUGCUACAAUCAAGAGAAAGAAGGUUGGCUAGGUUCUGGAGAGAUGGCUUAGUGGUCAAGAGCACUGGCUGCUGUUUUGGGUUUGAUUCCUAGCACCCAUCUGACCAGUUCACUACCAUCUCUAACUCCAGUUCCAGGGGAUCUGAUGUCUUCUUCUGCCCUUGGUAGCCCCCAGGCAGCCACAUGGGGCACAGGCAUGCAUACAAGUAAAGUAUUCUGUUUUGUUUUGUUUUGUUUUGUUUUGUUUUGUUUUGUUUUGUUUUGUUUUUCUAGACAGGGUUUCUCUGUAUAGCCCUGACUGUCCUGGAACUCACUUUGUAGACCAAGCUGGCCUCAAACUCAAAAAUCUGCCUGCCUGUGCCUCCUGAGUGCUGGGAUUAAAGGUGUGUGCCACCACACCCGGCUAAGUAGAGUAUUCUUAAGUUAAAUAAGUAAAUUAAAAGAAUGUAGCCUGUAGCCCUCCGCAGCAGCACUCAUUAGCUCCAGGUCUGGCACCUCACAGGGACUAAUCCUGGCUGCGUGCUGGGUACGCUUUCAGCAGUUUACACUUUACCUCUUAUCCUCAAAGCAGGCCUCUGAACUGGGUGAUAGACUGUUUCUAUUUUGUUCCCGAAAUUGAGUCACCCAGAGGUCCAGUGUCUUGCCAGAGGUCAUAGAGUGAUUAGUGGACAGUCUGAGUCUAGCAGAGUCCUCGCCAUCCCUAACAAGGGAUCCAGAAAUGGGAGCCAUUAGAAUAUCUGUGUUACGGUUUUGGAUCCAGGAGGGAAGGCAAUUAUUCAUGUCUCAGUGGAGUAGGGCUUAAAUGAGCCCUAGAGGCAGAUCUCAUGGAGGGAUGCCAGGUCUGUCUGCUCACUUCCCUAGCCUUACAGCAGGGGGAGCCCGCUGACUCUGCCUGGAGACCUGGUGUAGGUCCAGCCUAUGGGUCCUGUGAGCACUGGAAAGUGCCAGCUGAGAGUAGGUAGCCAGUGCAAAGUCAGGGUGAUACAGGCUUGGGUCUGAGCGGCAAGGCACUCGCACAGGUUUCAUGCAUCCCGGGGCAAAAGAUUGGGCCAGAAAUUCAUGGUCAGAUAUAGGAAUAGAGCUGUUUAUUUAAAAGGGGAAAGCUAGAGAAACAGCUGAGCAGUGGAGUGCAUAGGGCUCAUAGCGACCUUAGAUUUCAGCCGUGGGCUCACAGCAGGCUCCAGAGGACCUAAUGCCUCCCCUGGCUUCCACAUGCACUCCACCCAUGGGUAUAAACUCAGAUAAAUACAUUACACACAUACUUUCUAUUUUAAAAAGCUGCCAGCAAAUAGAGUUUCAAAAAGAGGGCACUCCUGAGAAAGGGAGUGGACAAGCUAGUGAGCUGGAGAGGCAAGCAUAUGCUCAAAUUUGCCGGGCUGCGAAUCUAUUCACUGUAUGUAGCCCACGUUAGGGGAGGGCUUCCAUUCUUCCUAGGCCAAAUGGCUUCUUUAAUGUGUUGAUGAAAUAUAUAUAUAAUUUUUUCCAGGCAUGGUUGUGCAUGCCUUUAAUCCUAGCACUUGGGAGGCAGAGGCAGGCAGAUCUCUGUGAGUUCAAGGCCAGCCUGGUCUACAGAGUGAGUUCCAGGACAGCCAGGGCUACACAGAGAAACCCUGUCUCAAAAAGCACCCGCCUCCAAUCACGUGUGUGUGUGUGUGUGUGUGUGUGUGUGUGUGUGUGUGUGUGUGUCACUGUGUGCUGUGGAGGUCAGAUCUUUCUUUUUCUCUUCUGACCAUGCUUGCUGACAAGGUCUUGACCAGCUGAGCCAUCUCACCAGAAGUUUGUUCAUCUUUUUUUGUUUUAUUUUGUUUUUUUGAGACAGGGUUUCUCUGUGUAGCCCUGGCUGUCCUGGAACUCACUUUGUAGACCAGGCUGGCCUCGAACUCAGAAAUCCGCCUGCCUCUGCCUCCCGAGUGCUGGGAUUAAAGGCGUGCACCACCACACCCAGCUGUUAAUCUUGAUGUAUUUUCUUCAGUCUCUACUCCCCUGCCACGUAGGGUGGUAAGUACCCUGCAUUCCCCUACGGUCUGUCGGGUUGCCUUGCAUACACCUUCUAGGCCCUCUGUGCGGUUAUCGGACUCUUUUGGGUAUAGACUGGGAAUCGGAAACUCCAAAAUUUCAAUGAGACAUUGCAAGGGAAUGAACAUCAAAAGAUAUGAACACAGCACUCAAAACGGUAAUGUUAAAAAACUAAUGCCAUCUCAAGCUUGGUGCGAGAGCCUCCGUGUUACAGAUGCUGAGGCGAAGCACCACGAUCAAACCAGCUUGGGGAGGAAAGGGCUUAUUUGACUUCCACAUCACUCUUCAUCAUCAAAGGAAGUCAAGACAGGAACUCAACCAGGGCAGGAGCCUGGAGGCAGGAGCUGAUGCACAGGUCAUGGAGUGUUGCUUACUGGCUUCCUCAGUCUGCUUUCCUGUAGAAUCCAGGACCACCAGCCCAGGGGUGCCUCCCCCAUUCAGAAUAGACUGGGUCCUUCCACAUCAAUCGCUAAUUGAGAAAAUGCCCUACAGGUUUACCUAUAGCCAAUCUUACGGAGGCAGUUUUUCUCAAUUAAGGCUCCCUCCUCUCUAAUGACUCUAGCUUGUGUCAAGUUGACAUAAAACCAGCCCGCAUGUGCACAGCAUUGAGAGCGGAGGGGAGAAGGAAAGGCUGUAAAAAGAGCACUCCAAUACCUCCAGUGUAUGGACACUGUAUGGCUUCAUCUCUGUCUUCUGCCUCCUGCUCUACACAAGAGCAGCCAGUGGGGGAGAGUUAUCCUCCACUCUCAAGAGGAUGGACCCCGACAGUGUCCUGUGGAGUGCUAGAGGCAUACCUGAGGCUGUUAGAGUUGGGCCUUCUGGAGUUCCUGGAACCGUGUGUGGGACAUCUCAGAGUCUGUGACUCCAGCUGUGAACAUGGCUCAGCCUUGAAGAGGGCAGAGAUGGCAGAGAGCCAGGGGGGAGACCCCAUCAAAGGUUGAGGUCCAAGGUUGAACCUGCCAGGAUCUGAACUCCAAUGCAGAGCAGUGCUGUUUGUAUAAGGGCUAACAAGUCCUAAACAAUGUGAUAGCACAGAGGGCAAUUAAAACACGCACAUGUGAGCACCUCAGAUGGGGAGAGGGCACGAAACAACAGAGAAGUGCACAGUCGCCUUUCGUUUGUGACUUCCAGAUACAAAAGGACCACUGGGGCUUUCUGGCUUCUAGUCUAGAAAAGAAAACUCAAGAUCUGGCUAAAUUUAAGGGAAGUUGCAUCAAAGGAACAGGACACCGGAUUCCUUCUUCUGACUUCUGCACAUGAACAGGGGCACACAUGCACACAUGUACACACACCUAAGACAAAACAAAAACGUAAGGCUCAUAUGCAUCAAGCAGCAAUCCCCUUCUUCCAGAACAUUCUGUGCCAGUGGGGCAGGAACUAUUGAUGGGGAUUGAAUCCAGGCAGGGCCUUCGCAACACUACACAAGCACAAUAUUUGUUUUGGGGUUUUGGUUUUGGGGUUUUUUAACACAGGAUUUCACUGUGUAGCCAAGGCUGG